UCAACAUGGUUGGCAACUGGAGCUGCGGUAUAAGAUGCAACCUGGCUUUUCCUAUGUAGUUUCGGAUACGUAGCCGACACAGUUGGCAAAGAGAACAUGGAGUGGCUGGUUCCUUCUUGUCAUAACAAGAAUUCUAGAAGCUGGAGAUCAGCAUUACCAUCUUAUUUCUUUCUCACUGGGACAGGUUGUCUCCCCCCUCCUCCCCCUCUCAAUCGAUGAAAAAUCAGGAGAAUGAAAGAGCUGGCAACAUGCAGAUGAACAGAGUUUUCAGAGAAAGGAGGCGUCCCUGACUUGCUGCAUCAUGCAGUGGUGAGCGAUCUGCCCAAGAACCUGUGGAACAAUAAAUACCACCAUAUAGUUUAAAUUACAAAAGCAGAUAUGUUUUAAUUCAUAUAAAAUAAUAAACUGAUGAUCAAUUUUACAUUUAGACAACCCCAAUCCUACAUAAUUCCUAUUUAAAUACAAACCCCAUACUUCAGUUUAAAUAUUAAAUUAAUUAUUUUGUAAAUGUAGAAAAAGAUGAUAAAGUAAAAAAAAAUAUUCACACAAUCCCACCUGAAAAUAGGGAACAGGAUCUGGCCACUUCCUUCACCACCAACCCAUAGGCCACUUUGACCAUGAUCUUGGGUGACCCAGCUUCAAAGGAAAGAAAUGGGAGUGCACUCAGUGUCCGCUCCCAAUUCUUUCCUUUCCUCCUUUGGAGCCAGACUGCAAAAGAAGAUCCCUUCCAAAAGGCGCUUCCAGUCAGCACAACUCCUGUUGGGAUCAGCUGCACUUGGGAGUUCUGGGGUUUGCAAACCCAUUUUUGGCAGAGUUCUCAAGUGAGACAUCCUGAGUGGAAGCAAUCCUAGGGGUUUGCAAUUGGUGCCAAAUGUAAAAGGCACCAAAUGCAAGCCUCACUUGCAAAGGAAGCUAAAUCUAAUUUCUCCCAUCCCUAGCACACAGUUAAUUGAGAACAAGUCUUAUUGAGAUCAAUGGGACUUUCUUGUGAGUUAACAUAUUAGAAUGAAAAUGCAAGUUGACUAGUCAGAAGGCGGCUUGAAAUAUCUAUAAUCCAGUGUUGCUUCCAGAUGGAGAUUGCAACUCUUUGCUCUGCCUUGCAGAAAUGGUGCUUUGUUUUGUAGUUCUGGGAUGCUGCAGAAAGUAAGCAAUUUCAACAGCAAAAUGUAGGGUCCACCUUAAUAUAGGACCCAAAUAUGGUAUUCAUAUGAUGAUAACAAAAAAGUUGCCAGAAGUUAACAUGAGAACUCUGGUGACCACCCAUUGCAUUGAACAGGUCUCUUCUGAGGUACAUGGGUGUCCUGGUACAAUUUAUGAAAGUUAUCCUAAAUCCACCUUUAGUUUAUGCUAGAAAAGCAAUCAGCACUUUAAAAAUCCUAAUCAAUAUGUAUAUCCGACAAUCACAAAACAAGAAGAAAAUGUUGCUCUUCUUGCAACAAAUUAUUAGCGGCUGCUGUUUACAACCACACUGACGCAUCCUCACUGCAGAGAAUUCCUCUCUCUCUUGUGCCAAUUUGUUUUACUGCCAAACUGAGCUGCCGCCCUAAGACUUUGUUAAGAGCUGCUGCACUGGGAAAUGGUAGCAAGCAUAUAAAGUACCUUAUUAACAUCUCUCUAGCAUUUUGAACUUUGGAUAAGGAAAAUAUCCCAGAUGCUAACUUCACAGAUUUUUUAAAAAAUCUGAAUCCAGCAUUGCAGUUGCAGUUCUACAAAUCAUAUUUAUCCUUAUCUAUGCUACAUCUGCUAUCUAAUCCUGUGCCUCUUUUUACAUGUGUUCACUUGUGCUAUGCAGAAAAAUGCCUGUACAUUUCAUUGCCGCAGUGACACAAUUUUAUUUUUCCCAUGAUGCUGGAAAAUAACCCAAGUCCUGCUUUGCACCAAGCAUUCAGGGUAUCUCUGCCCACUACUGUUCACAUCAGGGUAUACAUUGCAACAUUCCAUGGGUGAAAAUGGAAACACACUUCUGUACAUGUUAGCAUCCCUAUUUCUGUUUAAGAGGGUGUUUUGUCUUAAACUGGAUCUAGUUCUUAAAGAACUGUGGAAGGAAAUCAGUGGCCCCCCUGAGGUUAUUGGAGUGCCUAUUUCCAUAAGUUCCAGACCCCAUGAUCAGUGAUUAGGGGUGAUGGGUGUUGACGUCCUGCAACAUCUUAAGGGCCACCCUUAAGGGUUCCUCACCCCUGUUAUUAUCUGUUUGGGUGGUUUGGAAGGAAGUAGUCCACUGGAGUUUUGCAUCUCUGUGUAUACAUAUGUACAAAAGCAUCUCCCUCCCUCCAAGACAGCUAACUUCUAAAGAUUAUUAUGGAAAUGAUAAUGAAACCUGAAGUGCUCUUGAGCACACUAAUAACAUUUUUAAAAGCCACUCUCAAAGGGAAAAAUAGGGUCAUUGGGUUUCCUUCCUGGCUAAGUUGGAGUGUAUGAAACUCAGCAACUUGUCUUGGCUGGUAGUGACUUUUUUUGAUUGAUUCUUCUGCAGACAGACUUGUAGAUUGUAAUAAGACUACUGGUAUACACUAUGUAUAUUUAUUUUAGAGAAUUGUUGCAUGUUUUUCAGUGACCUUCUGCUCUCAUAGCUUUCCCAUUUUUUGUAAUGGAGAUGGGAUUGGGUACCCAGCUGUCUCAAAUAAAAAAUAUACCUUUUAGAAAGGCAGUUGCAAAAAUACUCUUUAUUCAAAAACAAUCUCCCUAUGAUUCUUUUCUCUCUGACUGAAGUGCAAACUACUUCAAGUUAUAUUUAGACUCUGCAUUCCAAGCCAGCUGGUAUCUAAUUUACUGGAGUGUACAGUUCUGUAAUACUGCAGAGAUAAGGCUAAGAAUUAUAACGAACAGUCAAGUACAAAGAAUGAUUUAGAAAUGUAUACAGUACCUAAAUCUCCAUCUCCCCAUGGCAUU